GACUAUUUAUUACCCUUGUCUUUUGCGCACUUGUUGUUUCCUGGGCGGGUUCGCUCGCCACCAGGACCACCAUAUAAACCUUUUUUAUGCAGUUGCAAUCAGCGUCAGUAUAACAAAUGUAAAUCAUUUACAACUUUCAACAACGGAUCUCUUGGUUCUGGCAUCGAUGAAGAACGCAGCGAAAUGCGAUACGUAGUGUGAAUUGCAGAAUUCAGUGAAUCAUCGAAUCUUUGAACGCACAUUGCGCCCUUUGGUAUUCCAAAGGGCAUGCCUGUUCGAGCGUCAUUUGUACCCUCAAGCUUUGCUUGGUGUUGGGCGUUUUUGUCCCCCCCAAAAGGGGGACUCGCCUUAAAAGGAUUGGCAGCCGGCCUACUGGUUUCGCAGCGCAGCACAUUUUUGCGCUUGCAAUCAGCAAAAGAGGACGGCAAUCCAUCAAGACUCCUUCUCACGUUUGACCUCGGAUCAGGUAGGGAUACCCGCUGAACUUAAGCAUAUCAAUAAGCGG
rnacentral:rRNA from 1 species